GUUCUCGCUUCGGCAGCACAUAUUCUAAAAUUGGAACGAUUAGCGUGGCCCCGCGCAAGGAUGACAUACAAAUCCGUCAAGCGUUCCAUGUUUUU
rnacentral:snRNA from 1 species